rnacentral:lncRNA from 1 species
CCGGAGCCUGCGCCCCGGACCCAGCGGGGGCUGAUCCCUGGGAAAGGCCUGGCUUCCUCUUCCUUCCUGUCCCUGCCCCACCUCCGCCGGGCUCCACAGCCGCCGGGAGCCCAGGGCCGAGACGGGAGGAGGGCACCCACCUGGUCGGUGUCACAUGCUGCUUCGGCCCCAGCGUCCCCUCCAGGUCCCGGCGCCGGCCGCAGUCCCCAGAGCCGUCCCCAGCGCAGGCCCGGCCGCCCCACCCGCGGCCCGCCCCUGGCCGCCCGACGGGAGGGAGGGAUCGGGUUCUCCUAGGAAGUUUCAGUAUGCAUUCUUAGAAACCAGAUAUACAAAGACAAGAUCUCUGCUUUCAAGAAGCUCUCAAUCUGAUUGAGGAGAGAAACAGGUAGCAAAUAAUGGCAGCAGAGCAUGACGGAGUCUCACUCUGUCACCCAGGCUGGAGUGCAGUGGCGGGAUCUCGGCUCACUGCAAGCUCCGCCUCCCGGGUUCACGCCAUUCUCCUGCCUCAGCCUCCCAAGUAGCUGGGACUACAGGCGCCCACCACUACGCCCGGCUAAUUUUUUUGUAUUUUUAGUAGAGACGGGGUUUCACCGUUUUAGCCGGGAUGGUCUCGAUCUCCUGACCUCGUGAUCCGCCCGCCUCGGCCUCCCAAAGUGCUGGGAUUACAGGCGUGAGCCACCGCGCCCGGCCGUGCUGACUGUUUUUUGAAGAUAAAAUGAUCAAGUCAGAUUUGAAGAAUUGACUGUUGGAGGUGAAUAAAAUGAUGUCCUCUCUGAGUACUUCUCUGUUUGUGAGAGGACUCCUUGAGGAGUUCUGCUCUUGAUUUUGCAGGGGCUGCCUCUAGAGCUCUGUGUUUUAUUUGCAGAAAGAAGCUCAACUAUUAAUACUUUGCUGCUUGCUUUGAACUUGCAUUUCACAGCCUGGC